rnacentral:lncRNA from 12 species
GGCCAUGUUUCCUGGGGGACCAUGGUAGGGGUGCACUAGGUCUCGUCCAAGGCAGCUGCAGAGGGUCAGGUUACAGCAAUGUAGGUCACAUGCUCCAGCCUGGGCAGACCAAGGAUCCAGCACAUUAUCUGGCCCCAGCCUUUCCCUGUCACUGCUCCAGCAUGCUGCAGCCUGGGCUCUGGAUGGCCCUGGCCCCUCUGCUUGGUGCCCUCAGUGCAGGAGCCAGAGUCACCCACCUGGACAGACACAUCCACGCCAUGGCAGGCGGCCCCUGCCCUCCAGGCCACUUCUGUCCAGUGGGCACAGAGGGACCCCUGCCCUGCCCUGUGGGCACCUUCUCAGAUCGGAUGUUUCUCUCCAUGGUGUCGGAGUGUCUGUCCUGCCCCUCUGGCCAUUUCUGUGGUGCAUCUGGCCUCACUGCUCCCUCUGGACCCUGUUCCCCUGGCUACUUCUGUCUGGAAGGAGUCUCCUCCCCAACCCCAGCAGGCCACUCGGAACACGGGGGGCCCUGUCCCCAAGGCCACUUCUGCCCCAGUGGGACCAGCCACCCCAAGCCUUGCCCUGCUGGUUCCUACAGCAACCUGACUGGCCAAGCAUCCUGCUUCCCCUGCCCUGCUGGCUACUACUGCCCUGAGAAUAUCACCACCUAUAGCAGGCACCCCUGCCCUGCUGGCUUCUACUGCCCCCGAGGCACCAAAUACGCCACCCAGUUCCCCUGCCCUCGGGGCUACUACAACCCAGACCCCCUGACCCAGACCCUGGACAGCUGCCUGCCUUGUCCCCCAGGCCACUACUGUGGGCAGGAGAAUCUGACCCAAGCUUCUGGACCCUGUGAUGCAGGUGUGUUUCCCAAAGCACCCUAA